GUAUGUAUAAAGUAUGUGUGUGUGUGUAUGUAUCAUCCAUAUACGAGGGGGUACCUAAAAGAAGCUGGAAUAUUGCAGUAUUAUUCUAUUCACUUAGUUUUACAUGUUGACACUUUUACCGCCUUCAAAGGAGUUUCCAUUUGAAGCAAUGCAUC